ensembl:misc_RNA Metazoa_SRP Metazoan signal recognition particle RNA
GCCAGGCGUGGCGUCGCGCGCCUGUAAUCCCAGCUACUCAGGAGCCUGAGGUGGGAGGAUCGCUUGAGUCCAGGAGUUCUGGGCUGCAGUGCACUAUGCCAAUCGACCGGGUGCCCGCACUAAAUUCGGCAUCAAUACGGUGACCUCCCGGGAGCGGGGGGACCACCAGGUUGCCUAAGGAGGGGUGAACCGGCCCAGGUCGGAAACGGAGGAGGUCAAGAAACCAAUCCUUGCGUUCCUAGGAGCACAGUCACUUCUAAGGGUCUCUUUUAGCAUAGCACACAGAAGAAUUU